rnacentral:rRNA from 1 species
GAUGAACGCUGGCGGCGUGCUUAACACAUGCAAGUCGAACGAUGAAGCCCAGGUUGCUGGGUGGGUUAGUGGCGAACGGGGGAGUAACACGUGAGUAACCUGCCCUUAACUCUGGGGUAAGCCUGGUAAACAGGGUCUAAUAUCGGACAGAAGAGUCGACCGCAUGGUGGGUGUUGGAAAGAGUUCUCGGUUUUGGAUGGACUCGCGGCCUAUCAGCUUGUUGGUGAGGUAAUGGCUCACCAAGGCGACGACGGGUAGCCGGCCUGAGAGGGUGACCGGCCACACUGGGACUGAGAGACGGCCCAGACUCCUACGGUAGGCAGCAGUGGGGAAUCUUGCACAAUGGGCGCAAGCCUGAUGCAGCGGCGCCGCGUGCGGGAUGACGGCCUUCGGGUUGUAAACCUCUUUCAGUAGGGAAGAAGCGAAAGUGACGGUACCUGCAGCAGAAGCACCGGCUAACUACGUG